rnacentral:rRNA from 1 species
UACAGAGGGUGCGAGCGUUAAUCGGAAUUACUGGGCGUAAAGCGUGCGCAGGCGGUGAUGUAAGACCGAUGUGAAAUCCCCGGGCUUAACCUGGGAACUGCAUUGGUGACUGCAUUGCUAGAGUAUGGCAGAGGGGGGUGGAAUUCCACGUGUAGCAGUGAAAUGCGUAGAGAUGUGGAGGAACACCGAUGGCGAAGGCAGCCCCCUGGGUCAAGAUUGACGCUCAUGCACGAAAGCGUGGGGAGCAAACAGG